UCUCCGUUGGUGAACCAGCGGAGGGAUCAUUACAGAGUUUUUAACUCCCAAACCCUUUGUGAACCAAACUUGUUGCUUCGGGGGCGACCCUGCCGCUUCGGCGGUGCGGCGCCCCCGGAGGCCAUUAAACACUGCAUCAUUGCGUCGGAGUUAAAGUAAAUUAAACAAAACUUUCAACAACGGAUCUCUUGGUUCCAGCAUCGAUGAAGAACGCAGC
rnacentral:misc_RNA from 1 species